rnacentral:lncRNA from 1 species
UUUGCGAUUUAUCCAUCUUGUUUACAUACACUAAAUGAUCCUAUAGGAAAGACCACGCAUACUGCUUCGUAAAUGAUUGGACGAUAUUUUCAAAUCCUCACCCUUGUAACAUUCGGAUACCACCGUUUGUAUCUGCUGUGAACACAUGCAAUCAUAUAUUUAUUAAAAAAAAAAUUUUUUUUGCCAAAAUGAUGUGGAUGCUUGAGCAUCUGAGCAUACAUGCAAGCUACGCCACUGCCACAGAUGAA